CGCGUAGGCGGAUCUUUAAGUCAGGGGUGAAAUCCUGGGGCUCAACCUCAGAACUGCCCUUGAUACUGAAGAUCUUGAGUCCGGAAGAGGUUAGUGGAAUUCCCAGUGUAGAGGUGAAAUUCGUAGAUAUUGGGAAGAACACCAGUGGCGAAGGCGGCUAACUGGUCCGGUACUGACGCUGAGGUGCGAAAGCGUGGGGAGCAAACA
rnacentral:rRNA from 1 species